AACACAUGCAAGUCGAACGGAAAGGCCCUGCUUUUGUGGGGUGCUCAAGUGGCGAACGGGUGAGUAACACGUGAGUAACCUGCCCUUGACUUUGGGAUAACUUCAGGAAACUGGGGCUAAUACCGGAUAGGAGCUCCUGCUGCAUGGUGGGGGUUGGAAAGUUUCGGCGGUUGGGGAUGGACUCGCGGCUUAUUAGCUUGUUGGUGGGGUAGUGGCUUACCAAGGCUUUGACGGGUAGCCGGCCUGAGAGGGUGACCAGCCACAUUGGGACUGAGAUACGGCCCAGACUCCUACGGGAGGCAGCAGUGGGGAAUAUUGCACAAUGGGCGGAAGCCUGAUGCAGCAACGCCGCGUGCGGGAUGACGGCCUUCGGGUUGUAAACCGCUUUCGCCUGUGACGAAGCGUGAGUGACGGUAAUGGGUAAAGAAGCACCGGCUAACUACGUGCCAGCAGCCGCGGUGAUACGUAGGGUGCGAGCGUUGUCCGGAUUUAUUGGGCGUAAAGGGCUCGUAGGUGGUUGAUCGCGUCGGAAGUGUAAUCUUGGGGCUUAACCCUGAGCGUGCUUUCGAUACGGGUUGACUUGAGGAAGGUAGGGGAGAAUGGAAUUCCUGGUGGAGCGGUGGAAUGCGCAGAUAUCACGAGGAACACCAGUGGCGAAAGCGGUUCUCUGGGCCUUUCCUGACGCUGAGGAGCGAAAGCGUGGGGAGCGAACAGGCUUAGAUACCCUGGUAGUCCACGCUGUAAACGGUGGGUACUAGGUGUGGGGUCCAUUCCACGGGUUCCGUGCCGUAGCUAACGCUUUAAGUACCCCGCCUGGGGAGUACGGCCGCAAGGCUAAAACUCAAAGGAAUUGACGGGGCCCCGCACAAGCGGCGGAGCAUGCGGAUUAAUUCGAUGCAACGCGUAGAACCUUACCUGGGUUUGACAUGGAUCGGGAGUGCUCAGAGAUGGGUGUGCCUCUUUUGGGGUCGGUUCACAGGUGGUGCAUGGCUGUCGUCAGCUCGUGUCGUGAGAUGUUGGGUUAAGUCCCGCAACGAGCGCAACCCUUGUUCACUGUUGCCAGCACGUUAUGGUGGGGACUCAGUGGAGACCGCCGGGGUCAACUCGGAGGAAGGUGGGGAUGACGUCAAGUCAUCAUGCCCCUUAUGUCCAGGGCUUCACGCAUGCUACAAUGGCUGGUACAGAGAGUGGCGAGCCUGUGAGGGUGAGCGAAUCUCGGAAAGCCGGUCUCAGUUCGGAUUGGGGUCUGCAACUCGACCUCAUGAAGUCGGAGUCGCUAGUAAUCGCAGAUCAGCAACGCUGCGGUGAAUACGUUCCCGGGGCUUGUACACACCGCCCGUCAAGUCAUGAAAGUUGGUAACACCCGAAGCCGGUGGCCUAACCGUUGUGGGGGAGCCGUCGAAGGUGGGACUGGUGAUUCGGACUAAGUCGUAACAAGGU
rnacentral:rRNA from 1 species